rnacentral:rRNA from 1 species
AGUGAACGCUGGCGGCGUGCUUAACACAUGCAAGUCGAACGAGAACGGAUUAUAGCUUGCUAUAAUUGUCAGCUAAGUGGCGCACGGGUGAGUAAUGUAUAGGUAAUAUGCCUCUUACUAAGGGAUAACAAAUGGAAACGUUUGCUAAUACCUUAUACUCCUUAUUAACAUAAGUUAAUAAGGGAAAGAUUUAUUGGUAAGAGAUUAGCCUGUAUUGUAUCAGUUAGUUGGUGGGGUAAUGGCUUACCAAGACUAUGACACAUAACUGGUUUGAGAGGAUGAUCAGUCACACUGGAACUGAGACACGGUCCAGACUCCUACGGGAGGCAGCAGUGGGGAAUAUUGCACAAUGGACGAAAGCCUGAUCGAGCGACGCCGCGUGAUGGACGAAGUGCUUCGGCACGUAAACAUCCUUUAUGAGGGACGAAGUUUAUUGACGGUACCUCAUGAAUAAGGGGCUCCUAACUCUGUGCCAGCCGCCGCCGUAA